rnacentral:rRNA from 1 species
CAGUCGAGCGAACAAUUUAAGUGAAGUUUUCGGAUGGAUCUUAAAUUGACUGAGCGGCGGACGGGUGAGUAACGCGUGGAUAACCUGCCUCACACAGGGGGAUAACAGUUAGAAAUGACUGCUAAUACCGCAUAAGCGCACGGUACCGCAUGGUACAGUGUGAAAAACUCCGGUGGUGUGAGAUGGAUCCGCGUCUGAUUAGGUAGUUGGUGAGGUAACGGCCCACCAAGCCGACGAUCAGUAGCCGACCUGAGAGGGUGACCGGCCACAUUGGGACUGAGACACGGCCCAAACUCCUACGGGAGGCAGCAGUGGGGAAUAUUGCACAAUGGGCGAAAGCCUGAUGCAGCAACGCCGCGUGAGUGAAGAAGUAUCUCGGUAUGUAAAGCUCUAUCAGCAGGGAAGAAAAUGACGGUACCUGACUAAGAAGCCCCGGCUAACUACGUGCCAGCAGCCGCGGUAAUACGUAGGGGGCAAGCGUUAUCCGGAUUUACUGGGUGUAAAGGGAGCGCAGACGGCACUGCAAGUCUGAAGUGAAAGCCCGGGGCUCAACCCCGGGACUGCUUUGGAAACUGUAGAGCUAGAGUGCUGGAGAGGCAAGCGGAAUUCCUAGUGUAGCGGUGAAAUGCGUAGAUAUUAGGAAGAACACCAGUGGCGAAGGCGGCUUGCUGGACAGUAACUGACGUUCAGGCUCGAAAGCGUGGGGAGCAAACAGGAUUAGAUACCCUGGUAGUCCACGCUGUAAACGAUGAAUACUAGGUGUUGGUGGGCAAAGCCCAUC